UACAGAGGGUGCGAGCGUUGUCCGGAAUCACUGGGCGUAAAGGGCGCGUAGGUGGCGUCGCAAGUCGAUGGUGAAAGCUCGGCGCUCAACGCCGAGUCGGCCCUUGAUACUGCGAGGCUGGAGCACUGUAGAGGCAGAUGGAAUUCCGGGUGUAGCGGUGGAAUGCGUAGAGAUCCGGAAGAACACCGGUGGCGAAGGCGGCCUGCUGGGAUCUUGCUGACG
rnacentral:rRNA from 1 species